rnacentral:rRNA from 1 species
GAUGAACGCUGGCGGCGUGCCUAAUACAUGCAAGUCGAGCGAACGGACGAGAAGCUUGCUUCUCUGAUGUUAGCGGCGGACGGGUGAGUAACACGUGGAUAACCUACCUAUAAGACUGGGAUAACUUCGGGAAACCGGAGCUAAUACCGGAUAAUAUUUUGAACCGCAUGGUUCAAAAGUGAAAGACGGUCUUGCUGUCACUUAUAGAUGGAUCCGCGCUGCAUUAGCUAGUUGGUAAGGUAACGGCUUACCAAGGCAACGAUGCAUAGCCGACCUGAGAGGAUGAUCAGCCACACUGGAACUGAGACACGGUCCAGACUCCUACGGGAGGCAGCAGUAGGGAAUCUUCCGCAAUGGGCGAAAGCCUGACGGAGCAACGCCGCGUGAGUGAUGAAGGUCUUCGGAUCGUAAAACUCUGUUAUUAGGGAAGAACAUAUGUGUAAGUAACUGUGCACAUCUUGACGGUACCUAAUCAGAAAGCCACGGCUAACUACGUG